AAAGCAUAUAAUCAACUGGAAAACAAGGUGUGAAAUGGCAAUAAAUAUAUAUUUGUCAAUAAUUACUUUAAAUCUCAAUGGACUGAAUGCUCCAAUCAAAAGACAUAGAGUAGCAGACUGGGUAAAAAAACAAGAGCCUACAACAUGAUGUCUGGAAGAGACUCACCUUAGGGCAAAGGACACAUAUAAAUUGAAAGGGGAUGGAAAAGUUAUUUCAUGCUAAUGGAAAGGCCAGGAAGUCAGGAGUUGCAGUGCUCCUCUCAGACAAAACAGACUUUAAAACGGCCCAUAAAGACCCAUUCCUAGACAUCUAGCCAGAGAAAACCAUGGCUCAAAAAGACACAUGUACUCCAAUGUUCAUUGCAGCACUGUAUACAAUAGCCAAGACAUGGAAACAGCCUAAAUGUCCAUGAACAGUGGAGUGGAUAAAGAAGAUGUGUUACAUAUAUACACAGUGGAAUAUUACUCGGUCAUUGAAAGGAAAGAAAUAAUGGCAUUUGCAGCAACAUGAUGGACCUAGAAAUUAUCAUGCUAAAUGAAGUCAGUCAGAUGGUGAGACACCAACAUCAAAGGCUGGAAUCUUACAUGUGGAAUCUACACUUCCAUGUGGAAUCUAAAAAAAGGACACAAUGAACUUCUUUGCAAAACAGAUCCUGACUCACAGACUUUGAAAAACUUAUGGUUUCCAAAUGAGACAGGUUGGGGGUGGCAGAUGACCUGGGGUUUUAAGGAUAGAAAUGCUAUAAAAUCAGGUUGUGAUGAUCAUUGUACAGCUAUAACUAAUAAAAUUAACUGAGUAAUUUUUUAAAAACAGGCCAUAAAGAAAAAGAAUGACACUAUUUAAUAAAUUAUCCAUCAAGAAGAUGAUACUAUACUUGUCAAUAUAUAUGCCCCUAAUAUAAAAGCACCCAGAUACAUACAACAAAUACUAACAGACAUAAAAGGAGAAGUUGAUGGGAAUACAAUAAUAGUAGGAGGUUUUAACACCCCACUCACAUAAACAGAUCUUCUAGACAGAAAACCAAUAAGGCAGCAGUGAUAACUGAUAUUUUCCAGAAUACAAAAAAAAAAAAACACCCAAUAUACAUUCUUUUCAAGUGCACAUGGAACAUUCUCAAGGAUUGACCACAUACAAACUAACCUCAACAAAUACAAGAGUAUAGACAUUAUUUCAAGCAUCUUCUCUGACCACAAUGAUACGAACUAGAAAUCAACUACAGGAAAAGAAGUGAGAAAAACUGACUACUUGGAGAUUAAACAACAUGCUACUAAAAAAACCAAUGGGUCAAUGAAAAAAAUCAAGAGAAAUUUACAAAUAGCUUGAGACAAGUGAUAAUGAAAACACAAACAUUCAAAAUCUAUGGGAUGCUGCAAAAGCAGUUCUUAGAGGGAAGUUCAUAGCAAUACAUGUCUUCCUCAAAAAAGAAAAAUCUAAAAUGGACAACCCACCACCUAAAAGAAGAACAGACAAAACCUAAAGUCAGCAAAAGGAAGGAAAUCAUAAAGGUCAGAGAGGAAAUCAAUAAAAUAGAUUCGAAAAACAAUAGAAAAAAAUCAAUAAAUCCAAGAGCUGGUUUUUUGAAAGGGUAAAGAAAGUUGAUGAACCUCUGGCUAGACUCACCAAGAAGAGGGAAUGAACCCAAUAAACAAGAAAUAAAAAAGAGAUAAUGGGAUUAAGAUGGGAGUUCCUGUCGUGGUGCAGUGGUUAAUGAAUCCAACUAGGAACCAUGAGUUUGCGGGUUCGAUCCCUGCCCUUGCUCAAUCUGGCAUUGCCAUGAGCUGUGGUGUAGGUCACAGACUCAGCUCGGAUCCCGUGUUGCUGUGGCUCUGGUGUAGGCUGGCAGCUACAGCUCCGAUUAGACCCCUAGCCUGGGAACCUCCCAUAUGCUGUGGGAGCGGCCCAAGAAAUGGCAAAAAUCAACAAAAUUAGAACCAGCUGCUGAACAACCUUCAACCAAAUAGACAGCAAACCAUCAAAAAAGAUAUCCUCCUCCAGAAGACAAAGGGGAGGCCACAUCAAGAUGGUAGAAGGGUCAAUUAUGCAAUAUAAACAACCCCAUAGCUACUAGAUGGGUGGCCCACAGACUGGAAACUAACUGUAUCACAGAGACUCACUUAUAGGAGUGAGAGUUCUGAGCCCCAUGUCAGGUUCCAAGACCUGGGGAUCUUGCAUGGGGAGGAGGAGCCCCUGGAGCAUUAGGUGUUGAGGGCCAGUGGGGUUUGUGCACAGGAGCUCCACAGGACUGGGGGAAAUGGACUCCAUUCUGUCCCAGGGCAAAGCAGAGACUCCAUAGAAAUCUGUGUCAGACCUGACUGCAGUACUCGGAGGAUCUCUUGGGAAAACGGCAUGACUGUGCUUCAUUCUGGGGAAAGGACAUUGGAGGCAAAGUGAAUAAUUAUCAGCAUGUGCUCCUAUAGAGGUGGCCAUUUUGGAAAAAUCUGGCCCCACACAUCAGGGCUGAGAAACCCCAGGCCCAACAAUAAUCCAGGUGGGAACACAGCCCCACCCAUCAGUAAACAGGCUGCCUAAAGCCCCCCAGGCACACAGCUACCUCUAAUCUCACUCAAAGACAAAGCCCCACCCACCUGAAAGAUAAGAAUCAACUCCACUUACAGGCACCAGUCCCUCCUACUAGGAAGCCUUAGCAAACCCUCAUACCAACUUCAGCCAUAUGGGGGCAGACAUCAGAAGCAAGAGAGGCUACAACUCUACUGUCUGCAAAAAGGAGACCACACCAAAAACCUAUACAAAAUGCAAAGGCAGAGAAUUAUGACUCAGAUAAAGGAGCAAGAAAAAGAAAACAGAAAAACAGCUAAGUGAUCUGGAGUAUACCAACCUCCAUGAAGAAGACUUUAGACUGAUGAUUGUAAAGAUGAUUCAAGAUCUUGGAAAUAAGCUAGAUGCAAUGAAAUAGAAGAUUUAAGGAUUAAAGCAAGCAGAAUGCAAAAUACAAGAACUGAAAUAAAAUAUUCACUAGAAGCAACCAACAGCAGAAUACAGGAGACAGAAGAACAAAUAAGUGAGGGGGAGGACAGACUAGUAGAAAUCACUUAGCA
ensembl:lncRNA